AGGGUGUUAAUUAAGAAUUAUUAAUUUAUUUAAUACAGGUUUAUUGGCACCCCCCAAAUUCAUUUCUCUCCCUCAUCUUUCUCACUCUUUACACAUUCCCACCCAUUCCUCGAACCCUAAUCCAUUUUAUCUUAUCGUCUCUCUCUCUCACAACAAUCAAAAGACAAUGAUUGGAGACCACUGGAGCGACGAAAGGCUACAAUGAUGACGUCACUGUGGUGGCGUGAGCGCCAUUGCACCUACCGUGCGGAGUGCGUAGGGGUGAUGAUGUCGCUACACGUCGAGUGAGCGCAUCUCCGUGAUUUGGGAAAAAUUUGUUGGGACGAGACCUGCGGAGAAUCUGGAGGCUUGAGUAGUGGUGCGCAUCCACUUUGAUACCGGAAGAUCUUUUUUUUUUUUUUUUAGUUUAAUCUCACAGAUGCUAUGGAGUCAUAGUUAUGGUGAUCGAUUGUUUUUUUUCUUUUGCUUUUUGAAGAGGUUUGGGAUGAUGAUCGCAGCUACACGAAUCAGGCAGUGGCAGUAGCAGAGAUGGUGCGAUGGUGGAAUUCAGAUGAUGCGAUGUGUUGAUGUACUGUGUAGUCAAUACGGUGAUGGUGUUUGCAGUUGUUGAUGGUGAUGCAGAUACAGGUGGUGGUGAUGAUGGGUUUGGAUUUGAUGUAGAGGUGGUGGUGGUGGGUUGUUUGUGGUUAUGGAUUGAGGUACAAGUGGUGGCGAUGGUGCUCGUGGCAUAGGAACUACUUUGCUAGUGGUGAUAUAUCUAAGGUUGUAUGUCGCAUAUCUAUUGUUGGAUUUUUCACAUAGUGGAAGUGGUAUGGUGAUAGCAUUGGUGGUGGUUAGGAUUUGUUGAAAGUGAUGGUAGUGCGCAUUUGAUUGACAUUGUUGGGAGUGGUGGUAGCGACGACGAAAAUCGAGUGUGACAAAGUCUAUUUUCAUUGUGACUAUCUGUGACCAGAUCUAUAAUAACUAUAGUUGUAUGUGACUUGAUUACAUAUAGUCACAAAUUAGACUAAUAUUGUCACAGGUAGUUACAUUGAAGACAAAAUUGAUCACAAAUAGUCACAGAUAACAAAGGUCAGUAAAUGUAAUAAAGUUGGAGGUGAAGUGGUAGUAACUGGUGGUGGAUUGUUGUACUGGGCUACGGUGUGUGAAAAUUUGUUUAUGGUAACUCUUUGAGGUCAAAUAUGUGUUUAUUGUGAUAGUUGUGACUAAUUCUGUAUUAAUUGUGACCGAUUGUGACUUGAUCACAUACCACCAUUGUAAAUAUUGAAUUGGUCACAGACAGUCUCACUGAAUACAAAUUUGGUUACAAUUAGUCACAGACAACACAUGUCAGUAACACAAUGACUUGGUCACCGACGGUCUGGUCAUAGUUAAUCAGAUAAUAUAGUAUAAUCACAAGCUAUAAAUCUGGUUACAUAUAGCACAAUUAAUCACAAAACUUGUCAACUACAAUAUAACACUACUACCACCACACAGUACUCAAAACGUUGCUAACACCUCACCCCCACUACUAUCGAACAGAUUAACUGCAGUGCAACUUCAUUACCUCCAAUGCAUUAUCUUUGCAACCAUACAGAUAUAUUUUUUUUAAAAUACAGUACCACCUCACCAUCACCACCAUUUGUAAAAAAAUUUGUGUUUGAAAAUGUGUAUAGAGAGAGAAGACGAUUUUUAAUUUUUGGAGUUGCUGGAGCGAUCAUCAGAACGAUCGUCGAAGUGAUCAUCAGAACGAUUGUCG
rnacentral:lncRNA from 1 species